CCUUAUUAAGCACCAAGGAGCAGGUAUCAGGCACAACUCUUUAGCCCAAAACACCUUGCUAUGCCACACCCACACGGGCACCCAGCAGUGAUAAAUAUUAAGCAAUAAGUGAAAGCCAACUAAAGCUUGACUUAGUUAUGAUCAUUAGGGCCGGUAAAUCUCGUGCCAGCCACCGCGGUUAUACGAGAGGCCCAAAACAACAGAUACCGGCGUAAAUUGUGGCUAGAGCACCUCUUACAACACUGAAAAAUGAACGAAAGCCUAAUCGUAAAACCUAGGCCAAAAGAAAUACAUAUUUUCAGCCACAAAGCAACUUGAACCCACGAAAACUAAGAAACAAACUAGGAUUAGAUACCCUACUAUGCUUAGUUGUUAAUAUGACACUAAAAAACACCACUGUCCGCCAGAGAAUUACACGCGAAAAGCUCAAAACUCAAAGGACUUGGCGGUACUCCGUACUCGUCUUAGAGGAGCCUGUCCUAUAAUCGAUAACCCACGUUUUACCUUACCAUCUUUUGUUAAACAGCCUAUAUACCGCCGUCGCAAACUUACCCCGUGAGGGCACCAUAGUAAGUAAGAUAGUAAAACACUAACACGUCAGGUCAAGGUGUAGCUAAUAAGAUGGAAGAGAUGGGCUACAUUUUCUAAAACAGAACACAC
rnacentral:rRNA from 1 species